CUGAAGUCUCUGGAUACCAGGUGGAUACCAGGAGUCUAGGGAUAAACAAUAAGAGUUCCUCUCACUGGCCAUCGCCGGAAAUAGGAUGCUGGAACUAGAUGGAUCCUGACUCUGAUCCAGCAGAGCUCUACAUAUGAAACUUGACAAGCAAGGGAAGGAGUGAUGUCCUGUUUCAUUUCCCUCUAUUUCAUAUGCUGACUAAUGAAGGAAGAAGGGGGCAGGAUUUCUGCAUUUUCCUCAUUUUUCAAUUAUAGCCAUCAUUUCCCCCAACUGGCUACAGCUGCCAAAAAAUAAAAUAAAAAUAAAAAGGCAUCAAGUUAAGGAUCGGAUAACUUAAUGAAACAAUGAAAGGAGCCUAAUGUUUUCACAUUAGAUGCCAAUUCUGCUAAAUCUUCAAAGAUCCCCUUUCCCUUUCCCUUUCCUCUUCCUUCUCCUCCUUCUCCUCCUUUUUGGAAAACCUCUUUUAGGAACUGGCAGCCAGGUUUCUAGGAAGAGGCAACUCAUCAGCAGCUGAAAUGUCCUUUACUGUCACUAAAAUUGCUGUGAAAGCUUUGGUUUGGUUAAGCAUUCAAAUCAGCAUAAUGCAUGUGCCUCUUUCCUCCUAAUGAUUUAUGAUAGUAAAAAGGGAAAUGAAAUGAUAAAAACCUGAACAUAUGGACCACCUACAAAUAGUGGCAAAUUGCCGGAGAAAGGGCUAAAGCUAUAAUUCAACAUUAGCAGCAGUUCUAUAGUCGUUCUCUUGCUAGUAGGGCCUCGUUUGCAUGCUUCACUCCGAGUGUCCUCUGAUAGCAGAUUGGCAACUCAUCUCGGUCACAGCCAUCAAGAGAACAUGAAAUAAUGGUUCCAAAACCCUACAAAGGACCCAUCUAGUGCAAUUAGAGUUGAUACUUGGCAUGGUGGUGUGUCCUUAACCAUCAGUUAUGGACUGAUGAGGUAGUACCACAGUGAGGUGGUAAACCUGUGUCUGGGCACAUAGGUAUGUGCAGGGUGUCAGUAAUAGGAGUGCAUCACAGGGCCAGCAACACAUGUCAGGAAGGAGAGGGGUGUGUGUGUGUGUGUGUGUGUGUGUGUGUGUGUGUGUGUGUGUGUGAUGAUUUAAACUAGUAUUUGGAGCAUGUGUUUAGGGCCCAUUCAGAUGAACAGCCCUCCACAUGCAAUCAAGGAGUACACCAGGAGGGUGUUGGGAUGUCCAUAGAGGAUGCCCCGAUGGACACAUUCUCAGCACAUGCCCUCCUACUUCACGUGUGCUGGGGCCAGUAUUGUUUGAACCAGCCUACUGAGUAUUUAAAAUAUAACAUUAAAGGGCUGGACAAUAGUGUCUAUUGUAAUUUUUGCUGUGUCAGUCAGAAGAUAAUGGGGUACAGAUGCACCCCCUUAAUCCUCCUCAAGCUUGCCUAUGUCUGGGCAGCAUCACAUCAGACUGCAGGUGACAUGCUUCUUCAUACAAAAAAUUCCUUUCACAUAGAAAACUAGCCUAGUUUUCUGUGUGCAAAGAAUGUUUUGCAUGGAAGACCAUUCAUGUCGAUCCCUACUAGGGAUGUGCACAAAACCCGUUUGCCCUAGGGAUGUGCACAAAACCGGUAAUAGUCUACAGACUGCAAGUAUUUUGCAGUUGCAGUCUGUAGACUAUUACUUUCCCUGCAGGGGAACACACUGUGCACUGAUAACCUUAACUGCUUAAUGACUGACCUGAGGUCAGCAAUUAGGUCAGUGAAAGUGUUUCUCCAAAAUCCGCAACCUGAAAAAUGGAAGGGAAAUAUAAAUACAUUUAAAAAUUCAUAUCUUAAGAACUAAAAAUCACAGGGAUUUGGGGGUGCCUGGGAUGGCUUGAGGCCAUCCCUGCCAUGCCCCCAGACCCACUUUGGGGUGCCCUGCCACCUCCAAAGGGGGGUUUGGGGUUGCCCCACAUCCCCAUUAUUCCUUAAGGGGAAUAUAUUUUAAAAAUUCACCAUUAAUAGUCGGAGCACCCAAUUGCCUUGGGGUUUGGUGAGUGGUAGGCACACCUGGGUGCCUACCACCCACCCCACUUUUGCACCCCUAGAUACUCCACAUAGGGAAUAAUGGGCAAUAAUAAAAAUUUUAAAAAUUCAUAAAAAAUUGGAGUGUUUGAUUGCUUUGGGGUUUGGGUGGUAGUUGGCAUCCAUGGGUGCCUACCACCCAAACCAGCUUUGGAGGCUCAAACUGGUUCAAACCAAUUCAAAUUGGUUCAAAUUGAACCAGGCUCAGUUUGGUUCGAAUUCGAACCAGCAGGUUGAACCCAAUGCGGUUCAAAUUUGAACCAUCGAACCAAACUGGUUCAAAUUCAAACUGAUCUGCACAUCCCUAAUCCCUACUUGCAGCCUGAAGUAGUUGUCCUGUCAGGGGACUGCCAGAUCAGCCCUACAAGUGGCUACCUGAAAGGUCCAGAGGCAUGUAAGGAGUCCAGAUCAGGCCAAAGUCGAGCUCUGGAGCAGUGAGUAAAAAUCUGGAGGAUCAGAGACAGAUAUGUGACCAUAGUCAGGUGAAGGUCGAGUCCCAGCUGAGGAGGGGCAAGGCAAGGCACUGGGAGUUUGUCUUGUUACAGUGGCUCAGACUGAUGAGCCAAAUCUGAACCAGAGGUUGUGUACAGUGAUCCAGACCCCUGUUGGCUUCUGCUCACAGCAAGAACUCUGGGAGGACUGUGGAAGCUGACCAGGGAGACUGAAGGGAAGGCAGGACUGUACCAAGGAGCACUAGAAUCGACCCACUCUUGGGAGAUACAUUGCUGACUCACUACACUUGAUGAGAGCAAGCCUCAUCCAGGGAGGGAGUUACAAGGAAGUGCGCAGGCAGAGAGAGCCAGAAGACAGCAAGACAGGAAGGAGGUUGGCCCAGACCUAUGUUACAUUGGCACAGAGGGUGGUAGGCCUGACAAUACAAGCCCACCAUCAGGGCAUAUCUGGAGGAAGUGGCAGGAAGGUUUCCCAUUACAGCAGAUGGGUGAUAUGGGAAGAAGCUGUGAUGUAACAGACCUGGAACUGCCUACCACAAGACAAAAGAUGCAACUGUGUGCCGCAGUAUCACCAGUAAAGCAGCAUUUUGGCAUCAAGGCAGCACUUUUCGAUCUGAAAUAAAAGGUCCCCUGCAGUCAGGAAGAUGGAGAUGGACUGAGCUUUGCUAGCUUGUAGUUGCACUUGUCAAAAGAUUUUGAGAUGAAUCGAACUGGCAACUGAGGAGAAGAUAGAUCAAAAAAAGAAAACUACACUGUCACAGAAGAACAAUACACAAUAAUAGCAUGGGAAUACAAACGGAUGAGCCUCAAGCCUCACCAAUGACUGACUGCAAUUUUAGUCAAACCAUUCCCUCCUGUAACCUAACAACAGAAUAUUGAAGAUUUGGCCUAAGAGGUAAAGGGGUCCAGCCCCCUUCUUCCUUCUGUAUUUAAAACACUAAGUUUGGAGCGGGAUGGGGAGUUGGAAAGAGAUUGUAUCUUUAUAUGUCAUGAUUGUAAUUAACCACCAGCAGGGCCUUUUCGGGGGUGGGGGCAAUUGACGUGGGCCUUACACAUAGAGGCACCCUCAUCCAAAGGUAUGGUUCAGUAUUUGAAAUGAGCAGAUCAAUCGUUUUCAUUCAAAGCAGUAACACUAAUCAGUUAAAAUAUAACUCCAGGACCAAGAGUUAUUUCAGUAUUUUGGACUAUUACACUAAUACAGAAUGCAGUCGCAGACAUAUUGUGCCAUGUUGCACAUGCACCAGUUGUGCGACAGUACAGCCAUUAUAUGUUUCCACAAUUUUUGCACUUGCACAACGUCACAAACUGAACAUUGCACAGUAUGUCAGCUGGAGAUAAGAAUGUGGGGGGUGGGGUGGGGGGCUCAAAUGAGCAUUCUGCCCCUAGGCCUCUCAGAGUCUUAAAAAGACCCUGAUCACUGGUGCAUCGGAAGUGGCAUCCCUUUAAUGAUCUGGCUUAUCAAAGUGGCUCCUUUGCUUUUCCCCCUCACUGUUUCAGUAUUUGCUGAGAGAGAGAAAUCCAGUUAUGAAACUGAUAUCAUAUCCUUAUGUGCAAAUUGUACUGCUUUCCCUGGACUCCAUCAUUAGAAGGCAGCAUGCAUGUUUGUUGCUCCCCUGGCACAAAGCCAGAGUCGCAAAAGCAAUAUAAAUAGGAUGGGUCUCUGCAAAGCAGCACUCAUUGGAGAACCAGCGGCACCUAAUUUCAGUUGAAAGUAGAGUAUAGCCCAAGGUAAAAUGAGUUCCAUACAUGAUGAUUUACUCUCUCUCUCUCUCUCUCUGCACCCCACCCCCAACAUUUAAUUAGACUCUGAGAGAGCCAAAGAGAGAGACACUCUAUGCUACACAGAAUGUGUUGCUGUAGCUUGUUUACUUUAAUGAUAAGGAUUUUGUAUUGGGUUGCAGUAAUUGGUAUCAAAAGAGAAAUGUCUGGACUGAACAAAACUGAUGCCCCUUAACUAUUUCUUCUUUAUUUUCCCCACUGACUGGCUUUCUGAGCCGAUACAUGGUAUGAAUAGUCAUAGUGCCGAAGGAAAAUCUUACAAAUGUCCCCAUUCCAUCAGCACAGGAGUUAUAACCCUUUUCAAGACUGAAUAUUUUUUUAAAAUGCAGCUCAAUUAUUUAUCUGCUGUGUCUAGAUGAGAUGCGACAUUACUUACUUCUGACUACCAUAUCAAGUCUGAAACAACACACGGUUCUGCGCAGAUCCUUGAAAAACGGUUGUGAUGAAUGGGUUAAGAUAUGAUCAGCAAGCCAUCAAGUUUGAUGCACUGUUCUUUAUUGCGCCCAUCUUUCAAAUGCUAGUGUGCUAAGGCAGUGGACAGGCAAGAACAGGAUCCCUCUUCCAGCCACAAAGUAGCCACAAAGUAGACCUUGUGAAAGAAAAAGAUGCAAGAAGCUUCAUGUAUCUUGCUGGAGAAGAGCUUCACACUAAAUUACCUAUCCAAAGUGGUCCAGAUAUUUCACAGUGGCAGGACUGAUAGGCCAUAAAAUGUACUGUGACCAUCCUAGAAGAGGCUUAUAGCAUGUACAUAAAAACUACAGUCUUGAAACUGCUCUCUUCUGUUAAUAGACUGUAUUUUGGGCAGCUCUUCAGAAUUCAAUUGUUGGUAACAGUCCCCAUACCCCAGUAAUUUAACAUGGGAAGACUGGUAAGAGAUAACUUACCUAAGUUGGUAAGAUGAUAUCUAGAGGAAUGAAGUUUUUGGGGUUUUUUUUAAGGAAUGAGUUUUAUUAAAAUGAACCAUUCUACAAGGCACUUGUAACAACCAUUUACAAUUUACAUACAAGCAUGAAAGACAUCAAAAUAAUAUAAAAAUUACAAAAGUUAUGCAUUACAUGGCAAGAAAAAUGGAUUCUAAGAAGAAUGCAUAAAGAUAUAGUAAUGAUACAGUAAAGAGACAGCAGAAUGUUACAUUACAUGUGUUACAUAGGUUUAUACACUGGCUGAUACAUUUCAGAGAAUAGACAUCUAUCAUCACAACUAUCAGAAAGCAAAAUAAAUAAAUAAUAAUAAAUUGGGUUGGAGUUUGAUUGGUUGACGUUCAUACUGACACAGCGAUCUUUCAAAGGAUAGAGAAGGAAGCAGGCCCUCCAUUCAUUUCUGCCGGUCAUUCCACCUUUACUUGAGCAUACGA